GACGAACGCUGGCGGCGUGCCUAAUACAUGCAAGUCGAGCGAGCUUGCCUAGAUGAUUUAUGGUGCUUGCACUAUAAUGAAACUAGAUACAAGCGAGCGGCGGACGGGUGAGUAACACGUGGGUAACCUGCCCAAGAGACUGGGAUAACACCUGGAAACAGAUGCUAAUACCGGAUAACAACACUAGACGCAUGUCUAGAGUUUGAAAGAUGGUUCUGCUAUCACUCUUGGAUGGACCUGCGGUGCAUUAGCUAGUUGGUAAGGUAACGGCUUACCAAGGCAAUGAUGCAUAGCCGAGUUGAGAGACUGAUCGGCCACAUUGGGACUGAGACACGGCCCAAACUCCUACGGGAGGCAGCAGUAGGGAAUCUUCCACAAUGGACGAAAGUUUGAUGGAGCAACGCCGCGUGAGUGAAGAAGGGUUUCGGCUCGUAAAGCUCUGUUGGUAGUGAAGAAAGAUAGAGGUAGUAACUGGCCUUUAUUUGACGGUAAUUACUUAGAAAUCACG
rnacentral:rRNA from 1 species